GCCAGCAGCCAUAUAACCCUGCAGCUAAAAACUGGCAACCCAUUGAAUUAAAGCGGGUGUGAGCCUGGUCAGUACCUGGAUGGGAGACCUCCUGGGGAAAACUAAGGUUGCUGCUGGAA
rnacentral:rRNA from 1 species